UGAGUGUUAUAGCUCUAUUAGAAGCCGUGG
rnacentral:piRNA from 1 species